rnacentral:lncRNA from 1 species
UAAAAAAUGAAUACAUUGAGGCUGUAAAGCACAACCUAGCGUCAGUAAGUGUAAGCCUAAAAUAGGCUGUAGGCUGCUGCUCACUAGCUCCUGGAAAUGCAGAGUGUCUUCAGCACCCCUCGGUGUGAAUGUGCAUUGCAGAGGCCCUAGCUCGUUAUAUCUAACCUUUUUUUUUUUUUCCCCAACAAUAUCCAAAUUACAGGAGACUUUCCAAGUGCUCCAUUCAGCAAGCCCAAUCCCACACAAGCUCUAAAAUACUUCCCCUUCCCUGUUGCGGUGACAUGCACACUGCAGGCAGACUGACAACCACCUCCUCCAGUUAGAACAUGUAAUCAUAAAUACCCUUUUGAGCUCAUUGAAAAUGUGACUAACUCAAAGUCUCAGCUCAUACAUUGUCAAAUCCCACUUGGUGAGUCUUGCUCCCGUUCCAGCUGGAGAUGGGCCCACGCUGGAAUUUGGGAAUCUGGUUUUCAUGUUCCAAAACUGAACAAAGAGACUCAUUUCUAGCCUCAGUCUCCUAAACUGCAGUCAUGUCUGUAAGUAAAAUGCUGAAACAUUAGUUGUCUGGGAAAAAUAAAUGAGUGAUGAUUUUAAGAGAUGCUGUGGCUACUCAGUGCAGUAGCUGCAAGCUUUUUGGUGCUGUUCCCAGAAAUGCUUCAACCAUGGUGAGGAGCUCAAUUCUCUAAUUAAAAAAAAAAAUUGUAUCAAAUAUUUUUCAGCUUUACACUCUCAAAUUAAAGCUUAAAAACCUCCAAGGAAGGAAAGGAGGCCAGAUUGGAGGGGGAGGAGGUGAGAGGAAGGAAGCGGGUGGAGAAAACCACUAUAUUCCCAAGAUGCAAGGAAAGUUGAAAAGUAGAAGAAAAAAUAUAUUAAAUCAGUGUAAACUAAGAGAGUCACAGUGUACACUCUGUGGGGAGCCUGAAGGAAAGACUGAAGUCAGGAAUGGGAUAUUUAAAGGACUAGAACCUAUAUAAGCCAGCUGUGAGGUAUGAUGGUCUCAAUUUUUAUAUGUUUCUUUAAUGGAGCAUUUUGUAGUAACUUAAGAACAAA